rnacentral:rRNA from 1 species
AAAGGAAUAGACGGGGGCCCGCACAAGCGGUGGAGCAUGUGGUUUAAUUCGAUGAUACGCGAGGAACCUUACCAGGGUUUAAAUGGGAUCUGCAUAACGUGGAAACAUGUUAGUCGCAAGACAGAUUUCAAGGUGCUGCAUGGUUGUCGUCAGCUCGUGUCGUGAGAUGUUAGGUUAAGUCCUGCAACGAGCGCAACCCCCAUGGUCCGUUACUAACAGGUUAAGCUGAGGACUCAGGCCAGACUGCCGGCGUAAGCUGUGAGGAAGGUGGGGAUGACGUCAAAUCAUCACGGCCCUUACACCCUGGGCCACACACGUGCUACAAUGGCCGGUACAGAGAGCAGCCACCCCGCGAGGGGGAGCGAAUCUAUAAAGCCGGUCACAGUUCGGAUCGCAGUCUGCAACUCGACUGCGUGAAGCUGGAAUCGCUAGUAAUCGCGCAUCAGCCAUGGCGCGGUGAAUACGUUCCCGGGCCUUGUACACACCGCCCGU